UAACUAAAAUCUAAUGUGUUUUUUUUUUAAAUAAGUGUAAAAGAACUAAAACAUACAUUUUUCUGAAACGGAAAGAGUAACAUUAUAAAAUUAAAAUUGAAACAAUUUUUAUUUAACUGUUUAGUUCUGAUUUCUAGGUUUGCUAUAUGCAUGUUUAUUAACUGAUCUUAGUAAGCAAUGAAAAUUUGAUCGAGUACGUCAGAUUAUUAUAUGGACAAACCCAGUUUUAUCAAGAAAUAAUUAAAAAACAGUGAAUGAAAAAAACGAUGGGGGGCAAGAUAAUUGUGAUGAUAGGGGGAAAUAUUUAAUUUCCUUAACAAUUUACAUUACGUGUAUUUUAUGAGGGCAGCUGCCACCUAUCAGGACCGGCACUAGAAAGUCUCUCUCCUCUUCUCCGUUCUCUCACUACGACCUUUCACGGAGAAGGAGAUGAGACUUUCGAUUUUUGUUUCUGUAUUAUAAUCUUCGAUCAAGUGAUCGAUUUCAUCUUCGCUAGGCGAUUAGACUUUCGUUAGGCGACUUUUGUUGUGUUUGUUCAAAUCAAAUCAGUUUUGUUCUUCAAAUCUCUUUCUUAUUUCUGAUUUGGUUUGAAUCAAUAAAGAUCCGAUCUUGUUUUGAUCGGUGAUUUCAAUCUCCCCCUUCGCAAACUAUUUCAAAUCCCGUUUAGUUUAUAGUCUGAUUUUCUUCUCCCAAAGAUUAUCCCCAUAUACUUUGUUUAUAGGAGUCAAUCUUUACUCUCACUCUGAUGUGAGCCAUGAUUGGCGAUUGGGUAAAGUUUCCUUGCUACAAGGUAUUAUGAGUUAUUGGAUUUAUCUCGAGUGAUUUCUCGGAGGCUUAGUUGAAUCGGCAUCUUGAAGAUGGUCCGAUAAAAGUCUUUCCCUGAAUCAAAUUUCGAGUCUUUCCCAGAACUUAUAAAUCGGCGAUGCAGAAGUCAGGCUAUAAACAAUGGUUUGGGCGGAGGAUUGGAGAAAGAUGGGAUCGGGAAGUGAUGGAAAAGACAAAGAUGCAUCCAUCUUCGCGGAGGAGCCCAGGCGGCGGAAAGCUUACGGUCAUCGGAGAAUACACCUUUGUGCAUGAGGGACACGUGUUAAAACACGCGUUGUAACAUGCCCUAAAGGAUGGACGCGUAGUUAUGAUGAUAAUGAUGGCCGAAAACUUUGCUGAAUUGGAUAUGGGCCUUUUAAUUUAACUUGUAAAUGGUAUCUUUGUUUGGGCUUUAAUGUAAACCUGAUUCAUGUAUCUUUAGCGUGAGGGCUUAUGAAAUGAAAUCAGAGUUGACAAAAAAAAAA